CUGGGAGGACCAUCUCCUAAGGCUAAAUACUCUCUAGUGACCGAUAGUGAACCAGUACCGUGAGGGAAAGGUGAAAAGCACCCCGGAAGGGGAGUGAAAUAGAACCUGAAACCGUGUGCUUACAAGUAGUCAGAGCCCGUUAAUGGGUGAUGGCGUGCCUUUUGUAGAAUGAACCGGCGAGUUACGAUUUGAUGCAAGGUUAAGCAGUAAAUGUGGAGCCGUAGCGAAAGCGAGUCUGAAUAGGGCGUUUAGUAUUUGGUCGUAGACCCGAAACCAGGUGAUCUACCCUUGGUCAGGUUGAAGUUCAGGUAACACUGAAUGGAGGACCGAACCGACUUACGUUGAAAAGUGAGCGGAUGAACUGAGGGUAGCGGAGAAAUUCCAAUCGAACCUGGAGAUAGCUGGUUCUCUCCGAAAUAGCUUUAGGGCUAGCCUCAAGUGAUGAUUAUUGGAGGUAGAGCACUGUUUGGACGAGGGGCCCCUCUCGGGUUACCGAAUUCAGACAAACUCCGAAUGCCAAUUAAUUUAACUUGGGAGUCAGAACAUGGGUGAUAAGGUCCGUGUUCGAAAGGGAAACAGCCCAGACCACCAGCUAAGGUCCCAAAAUAUAUGUUAAGUGGAAAAGGAUGUGGCGUUGCCCAGACAACUAGGAUGUUGGCUUAGAAGCAGCCAUCAUUUAAAGAGUGCGUAAUAGCUCACUAGUCGAGUGACACUGCGCCGAAAAUGUACCGGGGCUAAACAUAUUACCGAAGCUGUGGAUUGUCCUUUGGACAAUGGUAGGAGAGCGUUCUAAGGGCGUUGAAGCAUGAUCGUAAGGACAUGUGGAGCGCUUAGAAGUGAGAAUGCCGGUGUGAGUAGCGAAAGACGGGUGAGAAUCCCGUCCACCGAUUGACUAAGGUUUCCAGAGGAAGGCUCGUCCGCUCUGGGUUAGUCGGGUCCUAAGCUGAGGCCGACAGGCGUAGGCGAUGGAUAACAGGUUGAUAUUCCUGUACCACCUAUAAUCGUUUUAAUCGAUGGGGGGACGCAGUAGGAUAGGCGAAGCGUGCGAUUGGAUUGCACGUCUAAGCAGUAAGGCUGAGUAUUAGGCAAAUCCG
rnacentral:rRNA from 1 species